rnacentral:rRNA from 1 species
AGUGAACGCUGGCGGUAAGCCUAACACAUGCAAGUCGAACGGCAGCACAGUAAGAGCUUGCUCUUACGGGUGGCGAGUGGCGGACGGGUGAGGAAUACAUCGGAAUCUACUUUUUCGUGGGGGAUAACGUAGGGAAACUUACGCUAAUACCGCAUACGACCUACGGGUGAAAGCAGGGGAUCUUCGGACCUUGCGCGAUUGAAUGAGCCGAUGUCGGAUUAGCUAGUUGGCGGGGUAAAGGCCCACCAAGGCGACGAUCCGUAGCUGGUCUGAGAGGAUGAUCAGCCACACUGGAACUGAGACACGGUCCAGACUCCUACGGGAGGCAGCAGUGGGGAAUAUUGGACAAUGAGCGCAAGCCUGAUCCAGCCAUACCGCGUGGGUGAAGAAGGCCUUCGGGUUGUAAAGCCCUUUUGUUGGGAAAGAAAAGCAGCAGGUUAAUACCCCGCUGUUCUGACGGUACCCAAAGAAUAAGCACCGGCUAACUUCGUG